AGUAGCCGCGGGAAUACAGAGGGUGCGAGCGUUAAUCGGAUUUACUGGGCGUAAAGCGUGCGUAGGCGGCUUCUUAAGUCGGAUGUGAAAUCCCUGAGCUUAACUUAGGAAUUGCAUUCGAUACUGGGAAGCUAGAGUAUGGGAGAGGAUGGUAGAAUUCCAGGUGUAGCGGUGAAAUGCGUAGAGAUCUGGAGGAAUACCGAUGGCGAAGGCAGCCAUCUGGCCUAAUACUGACGCUGAGGUACGAAAGCAUGGGGAGCAAACAGGAUUAGAUACCCGUGUAGUUCCUGUCUCUUAUACA
rnacentral:rRNA from 1 species